ensembl:lncRNA
ACUGGGUUCAGUAUUGUUCUUGAUGGGGCGAUAAUUGGUGUGACACACCUCAAAACUUUCCUUUGCUUGGAAGUCUGUGAAAGAGGUUGUUCUCUGCAUGGCAUUCGGCUCCUGGGGAGAAAGAGGAUCAAUUCUGCUGCAGGUUCCACUGAACCGCAAACUCACCUUUUACAGCAUCUCUCAGUAUGCAGAAGAAGGAGGAGGCCCCCCCAUACCCCGGCCCCCCCAUUUAUUACGGGGGCACAGCAGUGACCCCCCAGCCAGGAUUCCAACCGGGUUACCAGCCAGGCCCAUACCCCACCGCAGGCCCGUACCCCCCUGGAGGACCCUACCCCCCCGGAGGAGGACAAUACCCCCCUGGAGGAGUCCAAUACCCCGCCGGAGGAGGACAAUACCCCGCCGGAGGAGGACAGUACCCCCCUGGAGGACAAUACCCCCCCGCAGGCCAGUACCCCCCCGGUCAGGCCCCUGGUGUGUACCCCCCCUCUGCACAGUACCCAGCAGGCUUUGCACCAAUGAUGGGCCAACCUAUAA